GCCGGCAGCUAGCUCUCUGCAACUCUCACAUGGCCGCCCACUGAAGCUAAGCAGGGCUGCGCCCGGUCAGUACUUGGAUGGGAGACCACAUGGGAAAGCUAGGUUGCUGCCUGAA
rnacentral:rRNA from 1 species